rnacentral:lncRNA from 1 species
UGCUAGUUCAAAAAGAUAAUGACGUUGUAGAGUACCUUAUCCAUUACCUUACUAAAAUGUUCUUUCCCCAUGAAAUAAAUACAACUAGAUGAAGAAAACAUGUCUGGCAAUGAUCUAGGCCAUAAAGAUACUCAGACUUGACAUUUAAUCGUAUAAAUGUUGAGUGAUUUACAUAAUUGAUCCCAUAAAAUCUUUGUAUGAUGCACCCUUCAUGGCUAAAAUAUUAUCACGACAUUUUUUGUAAAAGAUAAUUUUAUUGAUU